CUUGUUGGUGAGGUAACGGCUCACCAAGGCUUCGACGGGUAGCCGGCCUGAGAGGGCGACCGGCCACACUGGGACUGAGAUACGGCCCAGACUCCUACGGGAGGCAGCAGUGGGGAAUAUUGCACAAUGGGCGCAAGCCUGAUGCAGCAACGCCGCGUGCGGGAUGACGGCCUUCGGGUUGUAAACCGCUUUCAGUUCCGACGAAGCGCAAGUGACGGUAGGAACAGAAGAAGGACCGGCCAACUACGUGCCAGCAGCCGCGGUGAUACGUAGGGUCCGAGCGUUGUCCGGAAUUAUUGGGCGUAAAGGGCUUGUAGGCGGUUUGUCACGUCGGAAGUGAAAACUCAGGGCUUAACCCUGAGCCUGCUUCCGAUACGGGCAAACUAGAGGAAUGCAGGGGAGAAUGGAAUUCCUGGUGGAGCGGUGGAAUGCGCAGAUAUCAGGAGGAACACCGGUGGCGAAGGCGGUUCUCUGGGCAUUUCCUGACGCUGAGAAGCGAAAGCGUGGGGAGCAAACAGGCUUAGAUACCCUGGUAGUCCACGCCGUAAACGGUGGGCACUAGGUGUGGGGAACAUUCCACGUUCUCCGUGCCGAAGCUAACGCAUUAAGUGCCCCGCCUGGGGAGUACGGCCGCAAGGCUAAAACUCAAAGGAAUUGACG
rnacentral:rRNA from 1 species